ACAGGCAGUUAAGUCCCCCCAGUCUUCCAACUGUGCCUGUUUCUGCUGCCGACGAGGGAGGGGCCUCUCGGGGGCCUCUUGCGGCCCCUUCCAUCUCCUGCGCCACCAAAUGUGGGCUCUGCAGGGCAGGCGAGUGCCGACGAGGCAACCUCUGGUCUCGGCUUCCCACAAUCCUCCUCCUCCCCGUUAAGAGAACUUGCGUUUCUUCAUGGCUUCCGCCUUGACCGCCAGGCUCUUGGCACAGAUGGUCAGGACCACGAUGAGAACACCCACCACAAACGCCACCACCGGCCAGAGGAAGCAGUGCAGGAGAGCAAUCUCGUCGUGUGUGCGCUGUAGGAGAACGUCCUCUGGUCUGCAAGAGAGUGGAGGACAGGAAAGGAAGACCAGUGAGUCUCUCAGCCCAGCACAUUCUACACAACCUGCAGACGACAAGUGCUCUCCGGCGUAGGGAAUAAUCACCCUUGAAAGUGAUGACUCUGAUUGCAGACACCGUCCCAGACUGCUCCACACCCAUUUCCAAAAGCCGUGAGCUCUCGAAUCAAUCAUUACUGAGGAUGGCACUGAAUGCCAUUAUCACAAUAAGGAACAACCCAGCCAGUGAAAGAGCUCCUAAGAGGGAGUCUGGAACCACCACACCCCGGAGCACUGGCUGGAGAAAACCCGGGAGGAAACGGGCAGGAGAGAAGGAAGCGACCGGAAACUGUUGGAUCCAAAAGCGUGUUUUCCUCAGAAACUUUCUAGAAUUCCAUCUCCUGGAUCUUGGGCAACACUUAUGUUUCAGAGCUUUAAGUGACAAAAUAAAAUGACUCAUUGGAGCUGAA
ensembl:antisense Kcnmb4os1 potassium large conductance calcium-activated channel, subfamily M, beta member 4, opposite strand 1